rnacentral:snRNA from 1 species
UUGGUCACAUAUCUGACACCAUGAUCAUGAAGGUGGUUUUCCCAGGGUGAGGCUCAUGCAUUGCACUCCGGGUGUGCUGACCCCUGUGAUUUCCCCAAAUGUGGGAAACUCGACUGCAUAAUUUGUGGUACUGGGGGACUGCGUUCGCGCUUUCCCCGG